rnacentral:rRNA from 1 species
UACGGAGGGGACUAGCGUUGUUCGGAAUUACUGGGCGUAAAGCGCACGUAGGCGGAUUUGUAAGUCAGGGGUGAAAUCCCGGGGCUCAACCUCGGAACUGCCUUUGAUACUGCGAAUCUCGAGUCCGGAAGAGGUGAGUGGAAUUCCUAGUGUAGAGGUGAAAUUCGUAGAUAUUAGGAAGAACACCAGUGGCGAAGGCGGCUCACUGGUCCGGUUCUGACGCUGAGGCGCGAAAGCGUGGGGAGCAAACAGG